GGAUUUGGAUCGAAUUCAGCAGCAAAAAACAGAAACAGGGACUUUCUUUACCAAUGGCCAGUUCAGACUCAUCUGGAGAGGAAGAUACAGUGCUUUACACAACCAUCAACUUCAUACAACCCCCCUCUCAACCACCAGGAAACAAUGACGAAUCAAUGCAAAAUGAGGUUGAACUGAAUCAUUUGUAUUACACCGUCCUCACCAAACCAGCCAUCUCCAGUGACAGCAGGAGUGUUUACAGUCAGCUGAAGGUCCACUGAAAGAAUACAACUCUGCCUGCUACUGUUUUAAUGCAGGCCAGAAUUGAUGAAUCUUAAUUUUAAACAGGCUUUAAUCCUCCAUAGCAAAUGCCUUUUAUUGUAAAUGCUAAACUUCUGCUUUCUAAUUUCAGUGUCUUAACGCCUUUCAAAACUGUGUCAUAAACUUCUGUCUGAUUUCGGUUUACUUGUAUUUUCUGUAGAUUCACAUGAACAGAAUAACCACAUCAGAAGGCACACAGCAUGAAUAUGCAUACUUUUAAGCAAUGAUAAUUACAUAACAAUUGUUAUACCGUGUUAUUGUGAAUGGCAGUUGUA